rnacentral:rRNA from 1 species
AUGUGAUGCUGGGUGAUAACACAUGCAGUCGAACGAGAACGGACUUAAGCUUGCUUAAGUUGUCAGCUAAGUGGCGCACGGGUGAGUAAUAUAUAGGUAAUGUGCCCUAGAGAGGGGGAUAACAUUUGGAAACGAAUGCUAACACCCCAUAUGCCCUUAAGACAUAAGUCUGCAGGGGAAAUAUUUAUAGCUCUAGGAUCGGCCUGUACGGUAUCAGCUUGUUGGUGAGGUAAUGGCUCACCAAGGCUAUGACGCCUAACUGGUUUGAGAGGAUGAUCAGUCACACUGGAACUGAGACACGGUCCAGACUCCUACGGGAGGCAGCAGUGGGGAAUAUUGCACAAUGGGGGAAACCCUGAUGCAGCAACGCCGCGUGGAGGAUGACACAUUUCGGUGCGUAAACUCCUUUUAUAUAGGAAGAUAAUGACGGUACUAUAUGAAUAAGCGCCGGCUAACUCCGUGCCAGCAGCCGCGGUAAUACGGAGGGCGCAAGCGUUACUCGGAAUCACUGGGCGUAAAGAGCGUGUAGGUGGGUUAUUAAGUCAGAUGUGAAAGCCUGUGGCUCAACCAUAGAACUGCAUUUGAAACUGAUAACCUAGAGUAUGGGAGAGGUAGAUGGAAUUUCUGGUGUAGGGGUAAAAUCCGUAGAGAUCAGAAGGAAUACCGAGUGCGAAGGCGAUCUACUGAACAUUACUGACACUGAGACGCGAAGGCGUGGGGAGCAAACAGGAUUAGAUACCCUGGUAGUCCACGCCCUAAACGAUGUACACUAGUUGUUGCCAUGCUAGACAUGUCAGUAAUGCAGUUAACACAUUAAGUGUACCGCCUGGGGAGUACGGUCGCAAGAUUAAAACUCAA